AAUAAUAGUAAUAAUAAUGAUAAUAAGGAUAAUAUAAUUAUAAAAAAUUAAAUAAAUAAAACAAAAUAACAAAACAAAAUAUAAAAAAGAAGAGAGAAAGAAAAGUUCGUAUAAAUGUCCCAGAGAGAGAGAGAGAGUUUAUCCCAUUAAUUUUUGAAGAAAACCAACCCGCGGAUGACAUGUGGCAUAGAGGAAAAUGUCAAAAUUAUAACACAAUAUACUCUUCUUCUUUUUUACGUGUUUAUUAUUACAGUAAGAACACAAACUUUUCUUCAUCAUUUUUUUCUUUAAAACAAUCAUUUCUUUUUAUUCUCAAAUCACAAUAAAUAACUUCUUAAAUAUCAAACACACAAAUUUUUUUGCGUUACAAUAACACAACAAUAAAAAUGAAGAAAUAAUAUACCGAUCAAAGAUUUCACAGCAGCUCCUAUAAUAACGGCGAGAAGAGGAUUCGAUGACAGCGGUGGCUUCUGUUGGUUGUCGGCGGAGUGAGUUUUUUUGAGGUUUUGAUGGCUGUUUGGAGAUGAUAUAGUGAAGAGGGUGUGCCGGUUUUGGUUUUGGUCGGAGUUAAUGUCAAGGGUGGCUUCCGCAUACGGUUUCGUAGCAACAGUGAGAAGGAGUGAAA
rnacentral:lncRNA from 1 species